AUGGCAGGAGCCCGUCUACCUGCCUCAGAGGCACAGCACCUUCCUCUCAGGCGCACCACCACGCAGCCCUGCCUGCCAUCUUGCGCUGCAAAUGCCUGGGGUGGGUUUCUGCCUGCACACAGUACUCGGAGUACACACAGUCCUUGGAGUUUAUCAUUAUUUGUUAUGGUUGUCGUUGCUGCUGUCACUAAUAUUAUUUUAGCAGAAGCUUUCCCCACUGCUCCGCUUCCUCUCUUCCACGAGAGGCUGCUCCGCGCCCAAAGGACUACCACCGCCCCGCCUCCUGUCCCUUUAUUGGGAGGGGCUCGAGGCGCAGCCGCCCUUCCUCGAUCUCUCCGCGCUCCAUCGAUGUCCUCGGGAGGCGGCUGCCGGUGCCUGCGCCCGCCGGACGCGGAGGCGCUGCCGGGAGCGGCGCUGCCCCAGGUGCCGGAUACGAGCGCGGCGGCGGUGGCCGAACAAGUCAAGCCUGUGAAGUGCCAGUGGGUAUUACCUGCGUGGAUUUCAAAUGGCUAUGCAUUGCUUUAAUUAUGCAAAAAGGGCACAUGGACAUUUUGCACAGAAGAAAUCAGUAGUACUUCAGUUCAAAAUGAAGGACUUGAAAAUAAUGCUCAAAAGAUUGUACGUAUUACACUGAAUUUAUUUUCUGUGGGAGCUUUUCUGUACGAGUGGCAUCUGGUGCUGUACUUAAAAGCACGCUGAAGGGUUGAAAUCUGAAAAUAGCUAAAUGGAUAUCUUUGAGGGGAAGUCAGACACAGCUCUUCAGCUUAACCUUUUGUCUUAGACCACCUACCUUCUGUAAAUCUGUAUGGUGCAACAUUGUCUUUCAGAUUGCUUUUCCCGAGGGAGGGCAGCAGUACUUGGUAAUGGGAAAAUUCUGUUUGUAAAGGUGCUUGUACGAUAUGGGGUGAGUAGAUAGUGCCUGCACAGGGCAGUCACGUCAGGUUGGUGUUUCAUCUUUUGCACAGAACACAGACACAAACAUUUGUGUUUACAGCUUGUAAAGUAUCAAUUUAAAAAUAAAGCUGAUUCAAAAAAAAAAAAAAAGGUCA
rnacentral:lncRNA from 1 species